rnacentral:tRNA from 1 species
GGGCGGGUAGCUCAGUCGGCAGAGCGUCAACCUAUAAGCUGAGGUCUUUGGACGCGUCCAGGGUCCGUCAGUGGUUGAAUGUCGCAGGUUCAAGUCCUGCUCCGUCCU